AUGUCAACCAAGACAACAAGUGCAAAGAAAGAUGCAGAAGGAACAGGUAAGAAGAAGAGUGUAAUAGUUGGACCAUGGGGAGGCAAUGGAGGGGCUAGUUGGGAUGAUGGAACCUUUACAGGGCCGAUAAACAUGGAGGAGUUGGAGGCAACAAAACAGCCGAGGUGCAAAAAGGCUUCUAUAGGCUUACAAGCAUUGCUCCGAAAUCUUCAUCUACCAAGGCUGGUGAGAAGACUAUGGGAAUUUAAGAUCCUUGCCUGUUUUUUUUUGUUCUUUGAAGCUUAUGAUACUGUGAAAAUCGCACGUGACAGAUCCAUGUAG